rnacentral:rRNA from 1 species
AGGGUUCGAUUCUGGCUCAGGAUGAACGCUAGCUACAGGCUUAACACAUGCAAGUCGAGGGGCAGCAUUGGAGUAGCAAUACUUCAGAUGGCGACCGGCGCACGGGUGAGUAACACGUAUCCAACCUGCCGCUUACUCGGGGAUAGCCUUUCGAAAGAAAGAUUAAUACCCGAUGGUAUAAAGAGUUCGCAUGUUCUCUUUAUUAAAGAAUUUCGGUAAGCGAUGGGGAUGCGUUCCAUUAGAUAGUUGGCGGGGUAACGGCCCACCAAGUCUACGAUGGAUAGGGGUUCUGAGAGGAAGGUCCCCCACAUUGGAACUGAGACACGGUCCAAACUCCUACGGGAGGCAGCAGUGAGGAAUAUUGGUCAAUGGACGAGAGUCUGAACCAGCCAAAGUAGCGUGAAGGAUGACUGCCCUAUGGGUUGUAAACUUCUUUUAUAAGGGAAUAAAGUGAGGGACGUGUCCCUUUUUGUAUGUACCUUAUGAAUAAGGAUCGGCUAACUCCGUGCCAGCCGCCGC